AGAGUUUGAUCCUGGCUCAGAACGAACGUUAGCGGCGCGCCUAACACAUGCAAGUCGCACGAGAAAGGGCUUCGGCCCCGGUAAAGUGGCGCACGGGUGAGUAACACGUGGGUAAUGUUCCCUCGGGCGGGGGAUAACCCUCCGAAAGGAAGGCUAAUACCGCAUAAGACCACGGCCUCGAAAGAGGCUGAGGUAAAAGCAGGCCUCUGCAUGCAAGCUUGCACCUGAGGAUCAGCCCGCGGCCCAUCAGCUAGUUGGUAGGGUAAUGGCCUACCAAGGCUAAGACGGGUAGCUGGUAUGAGAGGAUGAUCAGCCACACUGGAACUGAGACACGGUCCAGACUCCUACGGGAGGCAGCAGUGGGGAAUCUUGCGCAAUGGGCGAAAGCCUGACGCAGCGACGCCGCGUGGGUGAUGAAGGCCUUCGGGUUGUAAAGCCCUGUGGGGAGAGACGAAUAAGUCGGAGCCAAUACCUCCGGCGAUGACGGUAUUUCCUUAGCAAGCACCGGCUAACUCUGUGCCAGCAGCCGCGGUAAGACAGAGGGUGCAAACGUUGUUCGGAAUUACUGGGCGUAAAGCGUGUGUAGGCGGCCGCGCAAGUCGGAUGUGAAAGCCCCGGGCUCAACCCGGGAAGUGCACCCGAAACUGCGUGGCUUGAGUACCGGAGAGGUUGGUGGAAUUCUCGGUGUAGAGGUGAAAUUCGUAGAUAUC
rnacentral:rRNA from 1 species